rnacentral:tRNA from 6 species
CCUCGCUUAGCUCAGUUGGUAGAGCACCUGACUGUAGAUCAGGGUGUCCCCAGUUCAAGUCUGGGAGCGGGGACCA